GAUCCCAUGGCGUGGUAUGAUCCCAUGGCGUGGUGGCGGACUGCCCCACAGCUCAGCUGUGUGUCUUAACUCUUGAUUGCAUUACUUCUGUCUGCGUUUCCUCUUCUGUCCUUUGAUUCACUGAGUAUUCUCAGUGUUUCCAUCUCAAACUUUGCUCGAGUUGAAAAAAGGAAGGCUGCUGGGAUUGGGUUUUUCCCCUGCAUCAAAUGGUCAUUAGUUUUUCCAUUUACUCUUCAGCCCACAGUGA
rnacentral:lncRNA from 1 species